GAUGAACGCUGGCGGCGUGCCUAAUACAUGCAAGUCGAGCGAACAGACGAGGAGCUUGCUCCUCUGACGUUAGCGGCGGACGGGUGAGUAACACGUGGAUAACCUACCUAUAAGACUGGGAUAACUUCGGGAAACCGGAGCUAAUACCGGAUAACAUGUUGAACCGCAUGGUUCAACAGUGAAAGACGGUCUUGCUGUCACUUAUAGAUGGAUCCGCGCCGCAUUAGCUAGUUGGUAAGGUAACGGCUUACCAAGGCAACGAUGCGUAGCCGACCUGAGAGGGUGAUCGGCCACACUGGAACUGAGACACGGUCCAGACUCCUACGGGAGGCAGCAGUAGGGAAUCUUACGCAAUGGGCGAAAGCCUGACGGAGCAACGCCGCGUGAGUGAAGAAGGUCUUCGGAUCGUAAAACUCUGUUAUGAGGGAAGAACAAAUGUGUAAGUAACUAUGCACGUCUUGACGGUACCUAAUCAGAAAGCCACGGCUAACUACGUG
rnacentral:rRNA from 1 species